GUAUUUGGCCUAAACCCUCUAAAUGUUUAAAUGAAAUGAAUGUGUCUGUCGAAAUACACUUUUCCAACUGUUUUGUGCUCAUCCCAAAAAAAGAAAAAAAUGGGGACAAAAACUAAUACAGACAUUCAGCAAGAGCCCUGCACACCUCCUCACACAGUUUUAUAGCGGAGAUCUUAAAUAGAUUUAACUUUCAUCUACACACUUUCUCGCAGGUCUUUCCCAGGACUUUUUAGAGAGAGACAGAAUUCCCGUGUCGUACGGACAACAAAAAAAAGGCCUGCCAGCAAAAUAAACCCUGUGCAUUUUUUCUUGUUGGACCGUCCACAUGAUAAAACCCCCAAACAGUCUGAAGAGCUCGCCCUUUUACAGGCCGGGAUGGGGAGAAGGACCAUUCAGGUCCCUGAGGGUGCUUGCCACAAGGAGAUAACUUAUCUUCUUUGUGAAGUCUACUUCAAAAUGAAUGAGCUGGAGGGGGCAUGGAUGCUCCAUAAAGCCAUGGGUAAAAAAGCAUUUAAUAGCGUUUUUCAAAGCUUAAAAAUGUAAUGAAUUCCUUUUAAAUGUCUACUUGAGAAUGAUGACCAGAGCAACAUGGGUAAUAUCUUCUCCCAAACAGGAGGGUCUAGUCAGAGGCGGUUGACCUUAGUCUCCCCAGAUGAGAUGGGUUACACAGGGGCUGGGCUGUUCAAGUCCUGGGGAGGCAAGGGCUGUCUAUAUGUAAUGCCUAUACAACACCGACUGGACAUGUCUCCUCUGCCUUACACUGCACGGGAGUUUGAGGCAAUGCCAAAAGCCCGGUGUGUGUCGUGCAGUGAACAUGUGCCGUUGCAGCUAUUAAGUCUGCAUGUGGAGACCUGUACGACGCCGGAAGUUGAUGAGAUCCACUCUGACAAU